rnacentral:rRNA from 1 species
ACGAACGCUGGCGGCGUGGAUAAGACAUGCAAGUCGAGCGCGAUAUUCAGCGUAGCAAUACGGUGGAUGUUGAGCGGCGCAAGGGUGCGUAACACGUGGGUAAUUUGCCAUGAAGUUGGGGAUAACUCGCUGAAAGGCGAGCUAAUACCGGAUGUGGUUGCGGGGAGGCAUCUCACUGCAACGAAAGCUGGGGACCCAGGGUUAAACCUGAGCCUGGCGCUUCAUGAUAAGCCCGCGGCCUAUCAGCUAGUUGGUGGGGUAACGGCUCACCAAGGCUAAGACGGGUAGCUGGUCUGAGAGGACGACCAGCCACACUGGAACUGAGACACGGUCCAGACACCUACGGGUGGCAGCAGUCGAGAAUUUUUCUCAAUGGGCGCAAGCCUGAAGGAGCGACGCCGCGUGUGGGAUGAAGGGUUUCGAUCCGUAAACCACUGUCAUUUGUGAACAAUGGUUAUUAUUUAAAAGAU